GCACUCUUGGUUUAGUGGUAAAAUCAACGCUUCCCAUUACUGGCUGAAAUUACUUAUGCUCGUUUGGAGGUGUGCGUUGGCCCCGGGUUCGAUUCCCGGAGGGUGCA